UACGUAGGGGGCAAGCGUUAUCCGGAAUCACUGGGCGUAAAGGGUGCGUAGGCGGUCAUGUAAGUCUGAUGUGAAAAUCCAAGGCUCAACCUUUGGACUGCAUUGGAAACUGCUUGACUUGAGGGCAGAAGAGGGGAGUGGAAUUCCUAGUGUAGCGGUGAAAUGCGUAGAUAUUAGGAGGAACACCAGUGGCGAAGGCGACUUACGGGACUGUAACUGACGCUGAGGCAAGAGAGCGUGGGGAGCAAACAGG
rnacentral:rRNA from 1 species